rnacentral:rRNA from 1 species
GAUGAACGCUGGCGGCGUGCCUAAUACAUGCAAGUCGAGCGAACAGACGAGGAGCUUGCUCCUCUGACGUUAGCGGCGGACGGGUGAGUAACACGUGGAUAACCUACCUAUAAGACUGGGAUAACUUCGGGAAACCGUAGCUAAUACCGGAUAAUAUAUUGAACCGCAUGGUUCAAUAGUGAAAGACGGUCUUGCUGUCACUUAUAGAUGGAUCCGCGCUGCAUUAGCUAGUUGGUAAGGUAACGGCUUACCAAGGCAACGAUGCGUAGCCGACCUGAGAGGGUGAUCGGCCACACUGGAACUGAGACACGGUCCAGACUCCUACGGGAGGCAGCAGUAGGGAAUCUUCCGCAAUGGGCGAAAGCCUGACGGAGCAACGCCGCGUGAGUGAUGAAGGUCUUCGGAUCGUAAAACUCUGUUAUUAGGGAAGAACAAAUGUGUAAGUAACUGUGCACAUCUUGACGGUACCUAAUCAGAAAGCCACGGCUAACUACGUG